rnacentral:lncRNA from 1 species
AUUAUAUCUAACAUGAUUAUAUAUAUUUAUAUAUUUAUAUUAUGUAUUUAUACAUUAUAUAAUUAUAUAAUUGUAUAACAUAUACAAUAUAAUUAUUUAAUUGACCCCUUUGAAAGUCAGUUGCAGAUUCGUGACCCUGUGUUCCUAGAAACUUGUAUCUCCUAGGAACAAGGUCCUUUGUCUUACAUAGUCUGUCGUUCAUGACGUUGACAUUUUUGAGGAGAGCUUACUUGCUGGUUAUUUGGUAGAGUGUCCUUCAGUUUGGGAUGUCUGUUUCCUGAGGUUUAGAUUCAGAUAAGACUAACACAUAUUCCUUUCAGUGCGUCACAUUAGUAAGCACAUUAUGUCAGUUUUUCCUCCUGUUGGUAACUGAUUCUGAUCACAUGGUUAAGGUCGUGGCUGCAAAGGUUUUUCCAUGGUAGUUACCAUUUUCUCUUUGUAACUGAUAACUAAUUUGUGGGGUAUUAUUUAAUCUUGUCUGUCAAUAAACUUUCACCUGGGCCAGGCGCAGUGGCUCAUGCCUGUAAUCCCAGCACUUUGGGAGGCCAAAGUGGGCAGAUCACCUUAGGUCAGGAGUUUGAGACCAUCCUGGCCAACAUGGUGAAACCCCAUCUCUACUAAAAAU